GUUGACACUGUCUACAUGAAGGUGAAGAUUUUCUAUCAUAUCAAUGUAAACAAUUGCAAAGGAGAAAUGUGUGACUCCUUGUGUUGCCAGUGACUUGAUCCAGCACUGUGAGCCAGCCAGCUCAUCUGUUUUCCUGAGUAAAGCUUCCAGAGUUUCAUUACCCUUACCUCCUGGUCUGCAGGAGAUUGCAAGGCAACAGAAAGGAAUCCAAAAUUUACAAAUAUUUCCAGAGUGCCACCUAGUGGGAAAAGAAUUGAAGCCGCAAGAAAAUUUGGACUCAAAUACAGCUUUGGCAGUCCUGAGGGUGUUCAAAGAAACCCAAAUUCUGCUCUCUGCAGAGCUGCUAGCUCUGCAAGGCCUGAGCCAGGUGUGAUGGGAGUCAAUGCUACAAACUCACCAAGUUUCUCUUGCCUAAAAGUGCCUGGGAGAUCUUGUCAAGUUGCUGAUCAAGGUGUGAAGGCUGACAGACUGUGGUCUUGCAGAAGCAGGAACUCAAACUAUAUGCCCCUGAAAAAGAGAAAUAUGUAAUUUUCACUUUGUGACAAACAGUUCCUCGAACUCUGGAAAAUCCUCUGGUGUUUGACUGAAAGUAUAUGAUAGUCUCUUCAUAGUAAGAAAACACCCUAAAUCAUGUCUGGAGAUGUCUCCAAAUGAUUAGCUGUGGGUAUUUUUACUCAACUCAAGCCUAGUUUUAUUGCACUCAUGGGAAUAACUUAUACAAGCAGAACAACACGUGUGAUCUUGAGUUAUGACCUGCACAAGGUAUAUGUGUGAUUGUGGUGUGAUAAAAAGGUUUGUUUGUCACUUAUAUGUCUUAAACUAACCCUGAAUGACAGAAGAUGAUUUCUAUUACACAUAUUCAAGAAUAUCACAGAUAUUCUUGCCUUCCCCCCUCCUCCCCCCCCCCCUUAUCUUGCUGGUCACUGUAAGUGCAUGAGUGGUACCUCACUAACUAUAGAGUCUGGGAGUUUGCUCACAUCUUUCAACACGUCACUUCCAAUGCAGUGUUUUCUAGUAUCCCAUUUUUGCCAGUCUUUAACAGGUUUUCUUCUCCAUGCUAAGAUAAUCCACACUGUAUUUAAUAAUCUUUUACUGACUGACAAUUCUUCAUAGCUGUCAUUAAAGAGUGAUGAAUUCAGUCCAAAACACCAUGAAGCUAAUGAAAGUCUCUGCAUUGAUUUCUUUUUUUUUUUUUUUUUUUUUAAUUUCUUCUCCAUUUUCCUCUCCAUACUUUUCAGUGCCUGUGCUAUCUAUUCAUUUUGAAGGAGUUUGGAUCAAUCCUCUCAGAGUUCUAAGAUGAGCCAAAAGUGGAAAUAAGAGGUCAUGGAAACAAAACUGAAGCAUAGGCCACAAAUGGGGAGAUUCUAAUAGUAUACGAGUUUGCUUAGCUGAUUUCUAUACAAACACAAAUAUAAGAGGAGACAUAUUAAUCUAGGUGUUAAUGUAUGGGUUGCAUCAUUUUAAUUAUUCUAGAGUGUGUAAGAACAUGAGUCUGGUAAAUAUUUAAUUUUUAACUGAAAUAAAAUAUUGAUUACAAUUUCUCUAUUAAUCCA
rnacentral:lncRNA from 1 species